rnacentral:rRNA from 1 species
AAUCAACGCUGGCGGCGUGCCUCAGACAUGCAAGUCGAACGCGAAAGUCUCCUUCGGGGGCGAGUAAAGUGGCGUCCGGGUGAGUAACACGUAGGUAAUCUACCUUUGGGUGGGGAAUAACAACCGGAAACGGUUGCUAAUACCGCAUAAUGCAGCGGCACCACAUGGUGACAGUUGUUAACGCGGGGGAUCGCAAGACCUCGCGCCUAAAGAGGAGCCUGCGGCGGAUUAGCUAGUUGGUAGGGUAACGGCCUACCAAGGCGACGAUCCGUAGCCGGCCUGAGAGGGCGGUCGGCCACACUGACACUGAAAUACGGGUCAGACUCCUACGGGAGGCAGCAGUCGGGAAUUUUGGGCAAUGGGCGCAAGCCUGACCCAGCAAACGCCGCGUGAAGGAUGAAAUCCCUCGGGAUGUAAACUUCGCAAGAAACGGGAAGAAUAAGUGGAGGUAAAUACCCUCCAUGAUAACGGUACCGUUUGUAAGCUCCGGCUAACUCCGUGCCAAGCCGCCGCGGUAACG